AUUUAAGGUCCCUGCAAAUGCGAAUGAAUUGGUUAUCAGUUUAUGGUUGGCACCUGCUUCCUAAACCGAAAAAUGGUUUGAGUGUUAUUGUAUUGGAAUUGGGAGUGUAGAUCCUUAUUAGAAAAGAUGGGGUUAUAUAAACCCCUGUGUGUUCCUUCACAGCUUCUGGAUUGCCUCCAAGGUACUAUCUACAUCGUAUCUUUCUUCUUGAUUAAGUUUAUUUACUAUUUUUUUAUCUCUUUAUGAGGUUUUGAGUAAGUGAUGAUGUUAUUCUAAUUUACUUAUCUCAUACGCUAAUUCGUCUACAAUCUGAAAACUGAUUGAGAUCAUUUUCUGGUCAACGGGGUUUCCAACACCGAUGUUUAUGUUAAAUAAUGCUUUCAACACGGUGUAACCUGACUUAUAGCCUAGAAUUCUAAUGAUUGAUAUGUAUUUUGUUUAGAUUGAAUUUUUAUAGGUGACAUAAUAAGAACUUUAAAGGAAAAUAACUAUGAAUAUACAUGUGGAAAUGUUACUGUAAAGCUUGCAGAAGCUUAUGGCUUUUGCUAGGGUGUUGGGUGUGCUAUCAGAUUGCUUAUGAAGCUAGAAAACAAUUCCCUCAUCAGAAGAUUUGGAUCAUUAACAAAAUUAUUCACAACCCGACUGUUAAUAAGACAGGACGAUGCAGAUGGCUGUUGUUUACCAUGUAUUAUUGCAAGUUUAUAUCCUGUUGCUAGUGAUCAGGUGAGUUUUUAUAUAAAAAUAAUUUUCUUUUAAUAUGUAUUUUUUU